CUUUUAGUUAGGCAGAAAGUUUCUCUUGCUGUUCGCGAAGUGUGUGUUGUGAGUGUAAAAUGGUUUUUUCUUGCUCUGCAUACAAUUGUACGAGCCGGUGGAGCUAGUAAAGUGAUUUAACUUUCCACAGGUUUCCUCUGCAAAAAGGCGAUUUGCUGAAACAGUGGGUCAUUGCCACUAAACGCAAAGGUUUCACGCCUACAAGGGCUAGUUUCUUAUGUGGAGAUCACUUCUUGGAAGAAGAUUAUUUAGUAAGGCCUGGUACUUCGAAAAGGCAUUUCAAGCCUGAUGCAGUGCCAUCACAGUUUGCGUUUCCGACGCAUUUAAUACCCAAAGAAAAGCGACCAAGGCGACAGAUUAGAAUAACAACUGAACAGUCUACUGUAGAAACUCAUGAUUAUAUUGAACAGUUUUCUCAGAGUUGUGAGACAUCUAAGGAAUGUGGAUCUCAAACACAAAUAGAAAUUAUUGACAAGGCCACAGACACAUGCAAUUUUUUACCAGAUGUCGUGGAGGGACUGAGAAGAAAAAUCAAGAGCCUGCAGGAAAAAAUUUGGAGAAGAGAGAAGCAAAACUAUUCAACGAAAGACAUCAUAAGUGCUCUGAAAGAGAAGGGUCAUCUAAUAGAGAAGCUGCAUGAAUUCCUGAAUCAACAAACAGGGACUCAGGUGGAAUUAGUGGGCAAUUUGUUGAAUAAUAGUGUAUCAGCCAAGGAAAAUAGGUACAAAACGGAUAUUAAAAUGUUUGCAA